rnacentral:rRNA from 1 species
UACGUAGGGUGCAAGCGUUGUCCGGAAUUAUUGGGCGUAAAGAGCUCGUAGGCGGUCUGUUGCGUCGGCUGUGAAAACCCGAGGCUCAACCUCGGGUCUGCAGUCGAUACGAGCAAACUAGAGUGUUGCAGGGGAGACUGGAAUUCCUGGUGUAGCGGUGAAAUGCGCAGAUAUCAGGAGGAACACCGGUGGCGAAGGCGGGUCUCUGGGCAACAACUGACGCUGAGGAGCGAAAGCAUGGGGAGCGAACAGG